GGCUCGAACCUGAUCCUUUCCUCUUCCUCAGCUCCUCACACGACGUGGCGUGGCGUUGCCUCCCCUUCGCUUCACUCCGAUCCCCUAUCGCGGCCAUGACGGGAGCCAAGCAAUCUCGCCGAUGCAACCUCCUGACGUUUUUCUCCACCAUAUUGGCCACCGUUCUGCUUUUGAUCUUCCAGCGAUUCUCGCCGACGGCAGCUGCAGUGCCGCAGUGGAGAAGGGGAGGAACUCAGGAACAUAUCGACGUUGCGCGGGGAGCCGAGGCAGUGGGCCACGGGCAAGGACGAUGCGAAGAUUCUCUCCGAGGCGGAAGCUCGCGCUGGCGGCGGAGGAGAGGGUUUGCUGACGGCGGACGAGGGACGCGAGUUCGCCUCGCUCUACAGCAUGCUGCAGUGGGCAAUUGGUAUAGGCUUGGGACUUUGCGGGUCCUUCCUCAUUUGUUGGGUGAAUUUGCCGACUUGAACCCGAAAUGUUUACAAUUGGUUCAAUUUAUAUAUCGAAAAAUUGCGCCAACAAUGCUUAUAUUAGCCUACAUUGUCAUUGAAGUGGGGGCAAAUUGACUCCAAAACUGCUGAUGCAGGGAACUCUGAUCCGGAUAAGUUGAGAGAAAAGGCUGCAGAAUUGGUGAAACUAUCGGCAGAGGAAUUACUCAAGAGACAGAUGGAGAUUAAGGAGUUGAUGGAGAAGUUCAAGGCGCCAUCAGAUGCUGAGUUGAUAAAGAUUGCUAUUGCUGACUUAAAUAAUUCCUCUCUGGAGGACCGCCAACGUGCACUGCAAGAGCUCUUAAUUCUCGUUGAGCCCAUCGACAAUGCUAAUGGAACUUGGCAAUGCAGACGAAGGAAUAAGAACUACUUCAGCAUGGGUGCUGGGCAAAGCCAGUCAGGACAAUGUUCUUGUUCAAAACCAGAUCAAUGGAUAUGGAGCUUUGGACAGAUUAGUGAAGAUGGGUUAUUCCAGUUCUGGACCAGAAGCUGCAAAGGCAUUGUACACUAUAUCCUCUUUGAUUAGGGACAACGAACAUGGUCAGGAGUUGUUCCUUUCAGAAAAUGGUUAUGCAAUGUUGCAGCACAUAUUGUCAACCACAAACACUAGUGUUCGGCUUCAGAAAAAGGUUGUGUCUUUACUGGCAUAUAUAGCUGACUUUCAGCUAAAUACAGGGAAGUCACAAGCUCAAUCCUUACUCAACCACUUUUUCAUAUAAUCAGUAGUUGAGAUGAUAUCAGCAGUGCCUGACCUUGACCUCCAGGAGAAGGCUUUGUUAGCUGUUAGGAAUCUGCUGCACCUUACGUCAGCUGAUGCUACAGAUCUUCAGAAGUUUUCAGGCCUGGAUGAUUCCCUGAAUGCACUGAAGGUGCAAUUGGAUGAGUUGACAUCUCAUGAGGAACAAAGAGAGUAUGCUCCGGAAAUUGAAAUUCUCCGGAGAGAAGUCCACACUGUCUUCCAGCGGAAAACUGACCAGGCAAGGGUGGUGACAAAUGAAGGCAAAUAUAAUGGUUAGAAACAUUUGCUGUCCAUAUAAGCGUUUGUUCGGUUCUUCCCCAAACCAAGAGGGUUGGGGGAUUUAAUAGUCCCCCCUCAAUUCUCUCCAACCCCUUGGUUUCGGGAGGAAACUAACAAGCUCUAAAGGUGAUCACAUAACAAUUCCUCAACUGAAUGACAAGUUGUCAAUAGAACGAGUUGCAUGGGAUCAUAGAUACUUCACAGAGAUAGGAUGUCACAAAAUGGUGAUUGUCUAUCAAGUUACAGAACGAAGAAGUGCAGUGGAACAGAGUUCUCAUUCUCACUGAUUUCUGCUUCGUGUGAAACUGUUUCAUAGUACACUUGUAGCCCAUUGAAUGUCGAUGUUGUUCAUACGCAAGGACUCAAAGUUGUUACUGGGCCUGAACUAAGGCUACAAUCGCAAUAGCCCUGAUUCAGUUGCUUCCUGUUCAAAUGAAAUGUUGCUCGAGUUCUUUCA